AGUGAACGCUGGCGGUAGGCCUAACACAUGCAAGUCGAACGGCAGCACAGUAAGAGCUUGCUCUUACGGGUGGCGAGUGGCGGACGGGUGAGGAAUACAUCGGAAUCUACUUUUUCGUGGGGGAUAACGUAGGGAAACUUACGCUAAUACCGCAUACGACCUACGGGUGAAAGCAGGGGAUCUUCGGACCUUGCGCGAUUGAAUGAGCCGAUGUCGGAUUAGCUAGUUGGCGGGGUAAAGGCCCACCAAGGCGACGAUCCGUAGCUGGUCUGAGAGGAUGAUCAGCCACACUGGAACUGAGACACGGUCCAGACUCCUACGGGAGGCAGCAGUGGGGAAUAUUGGACAAUGGGCGCAAGCCUGAUCCAGCCAUACCGCGUGGGUGCAGAAGGCCUGCGGGUUGUAAAGCCCUUUUGUUGGGAAAGAAAAGCAGCAGGUUAAUACCCCGCUGUUCUGACGGUACCCAAAGAAUAAGCACCGGCUAACUUCGUG
rnacentral:rRNA from 1 species